AUGCACGCUGGCGGCGUGCCUAAUACAUGCCAGUCGAGCGAACAGACGAGGAGCUUGCUCCUCUGACGUUAGCGGCGGACGGGUGAGUAACACGUGGAUAACCUACCUAUAAGACUGGGAUAACUUCGGGAAACCGGAGCUAAUACCGGAUAAUAUAUUGAACCGCAUGGUUCAAUAGUGAAAGACGGUUUUGCUGUCACUUAUAGAUGGAUCCGCGCCGCAUUAGCUAGUUGGUAAGGUAACGGCUUACCAAGGCGACGAUGCGAAGCCGACCUGAGAGGGUGAUCGGCCACACUGGAACUGAGACACGGUCCAGACUCCUACGGGAGGCAGCAGUAGGGAAUCUUCCGCAAUGGGCGAAAGCCUGACGGAGCAACGCCGCGUGAGUGAUGAAGGUCUUCGGAUCGUAAAACUCUGUUAUUAGGGAAGAACAAAUGUGUAAGUAACUAUGCACGUCUUGACGGUACCUAAUCAGAAAGCCACGGCUAACUACGUG
rnacentral:rRNA from 1 species